CUGAAGACCAUAGGGUUUUGAGACUGCGUCAAUAUUGGCGUGUUGCUCGACCCUUACUCUUUAUCCACACACACCUUUGUGCACCAUGGGACGAUAAAAAGUCCCCUUUUAUACAUAAACACCAAGUUAUAUGCAUGUUUUUUAUACGCUCUACGGAGUAAUAUA
rnacentral:misc_RNA from 1 species